UGAGUAAUGUAUAGGAAUCUACCUAGUAGUACGGAAUAAUUGUUAGGAACGGCAACUAAUACCGUAUACGCCCGUACGGGAAAAAUUUAUUGCUAUUAGAUGAGCCUAUAUUAGAUUAGCUAGUUGGUGGAGUAAUAGCCUACCAAGGCAAUGAUCUAUAGCUGAUCUGAGAGGAUGAUCAGCCACACUUGAACUGAGAUACGAUUCAG
rnacentral:rRNA from 1 species